GCUUUUGCUGCAUCACGUAAGUUUUGGGGAGUUCUGUUUUGCCUGAUGAUUAUUUGAGCUUUUGUGAUGCAGAUUCAGAGGGAAAGAAGUGAGGCUGGAGUUGAAGAACAAGAGGGCAGCUGACAACCUCGGCAAGGCAGAAGUCACCAUGAAAGCUUCCUUUUCUCAAGUAUUUACCAUUCAAAACUUUAGGGAAAUUCAUUAACAUAAAUUGGCAAUGAUAUUAGAUGAUUUAAUUUUGAAGGCAAAUAAAAGGUUUUUGGAGGAUACUGUUGCAUUGCUGCUAGGAAUAUAAAUUGGUCUAACCACUUUGUAAAACUAUUAGGCAGUAUUUACUAAAGCAAAAUAUACAUGUGGUCUAUGGCCCAGCAAUUCCACUUCUGGGUAUGUUCCCAAAAGAACUGAAUGCUUGUGUUUAUAAAAAGAUAUGUGCAAGAAUAGUCAUAGCAGCAUUA
rnacentral:lncRNA from 1 species